AUUGAACGCUGGCGGCAGGCUUAACACAUGCAAGUCGAGCGGGGGAAGGUAGCUUGCUACCGGACCUAGCGGCGGACGGGUGAGUAAUGCUUAGGAAUCUGCCUAUUAGUGGGGGACAACAUCUCGAAAGGGAUGCUAAUACCGCAUACGGCCUACGGGAGAAAGCAGGGGAUCUUCGGACCUUGCGCUAAUAGAUGAGCCUAAGUCGGAUUAGCUAGUUGGUGGGGUAAAGGCCUACCAAGGCUACGAUCUGUAGCGGGUCUGAGAGGAUGAUCCGCCACACUGGGACUGAGACACGGCCCAGACUCCUACGGGAGGCAGCAGUGGGGAAUAUUGGACAAUGGGGGGAACCCUGAUCCAGCCAUGCCGCGUGUGUGAAGAAGGCCUCAUGGUUGUAAAGCACUUUAAGCGAGGAGGAGGCUACUCUAGUUAAUACCUAGGGAUAGUGGACGUUACUCGCAGAAUCAGCACCGGCUAACUCUGUGCCAGCCGCCGCAGUAA
rnacentral:rRNA from 1 species